rnacentral:rRNA from 1 species
AGUGAACGCUGGCGGUAGGCCUAACACAUGCAAGUCGAACGGCAGCACAGUAAGAGCUUGCUCUUACGGGUGGCGAGUGGCGGACGGGUGAGGAAUACAUCGGAAUCUACUUUUUCGUGGGGGAUAACGUAGGGAAACUUACGCUAAUACCGCAUACGACCUACGGGUGAAAGCAGGGGAUCUUCGGACCUUGCGCGAUUGAAUGAGCCGAUGUCGGAUUAGCUAGUUGGCGGCGUACAGGCCAACCAAGGCGACGAUCCGUAGCUGGUCUGAGAGGGUGAGCAACCACACUGGAACUGAGACACGGUCCAGAGUCGUACGGGAGGCAGCAGUGGGGAAUAUUGGACAAUGGAGGCAAGCCUAAUCCAGCCAUACCGCGUGGGUGAUGAAGGCCUUCGGGUUGUAAAACCCUUUUUUUGGGAAAGAAAAGCAGCAGGUUAAUACCCCGCUGUUCUGACGGUACCCAAAGAAUAAGCACCGGCUAACUUCGUG